rnacentral:rRNA from 1 species
UACGUAGGGGGCAAGCGUUGUCCGGAAUCAUUGGGCGUAAAGCGCGUGUAGGCGGCCUUGUAAGUCCGUUCUGAAAGCCCGGGGCUCAACCCCGGGAGGCGGAUGGAUACUGCAAGGCUCGAGUACGGAAGAGGCGAGUGGAAUUCCCGGUGUAGCGGUGAAAUGCGCAGAUAUCGGGAGGAACACCUGCGGCGAAGGCGGGUUGCUGGGCUGACACUGACGCUGAAGUGCGAAAGCUAGGGGAGCGAACGGG